rnacentral:pre_miRNA from 1 species
GUUUGCCUGUGUGUGAAUGGUGUUUAGUACCAAGGACAGGUGUGUUUGCCUGUGUGGACGGUGUUCAGCACCAAAGAUAGGUGUGUUUACUU